ACCGGAACCGGCUCAGUCCCUUACUAAAAAGUAAAAACCCUAACUUCCUUAGUUUAUUCCCAAAUUUCCCCACACUCAGUCACUCCUCCAUUGCGCUCUCUCUCCCACUCCCAACACCCACUACUCGACGAAACCGUCUCGCCUCUCCUCGCUCCAUUCGGCGUCCACCUCGGCUCUUCCUCUGUCUUCAUCAACCGCGGUCUGGCUCGUUCGCGGUCUCUGCUUUUUCUAGGGUUUCCGAUUCUGGCUAGAGGGCGCAAGAAGGGAGCGAGCAAGGACAAGAGUAAGCGUCAGUUGAGUUUGGGCGAUCUCGUUCUUGCCAAAGUCAAGGGCGACCCUGCUUGGCCUGCCAAGAUUAGCAGGCCAGAGGAUUGGCACCAAACUCCUGAUCCAAAAAAGCACUUCGUGCUCUUUGGAACACAAGAGAUGUAAGCUCACGAUCUGCUUGUACCACUUGUUUAUUUAUGUAUGAGUAGUUAGCUUAAUGGCUUUAUUGAGUUUUGUGUAUAGUUUCAUUCCUUUCAUGCAGUAACUACAGUAUCGUGUUCAUGAGCGGCUCUCUAUCUUUGUUUUUUUGGAUAAACCUUAAGGUUAUUAGACAGGCGAGUUCAUCCACAAGAAGAAAAAGAAAAGAAAAAAUCCUAUUAGUUUGUCUUCAACAUUUAGUCAAAAGGUUCAGCCCGGGCUUCAAGACUGGCUUGAAGCCAGCCUUAGUUUCAUCUUUGUGCUAUUUCUUCUAUGUAGCACACAUGCUUUCCAAUUUUUAAGUGAUUGGCACUCCCUUGCACUUGUUGCUUGUGUUUAUGGAUUUUUUCAGCCCUGCUUUCCUAGUGUGCGGGAUUCCUGUAAGCUUGUCACCGGCUAUCUUAGUUGGAUGUUUGGUAGGACUGCCCAACAUCACCUACAUCUUUAGAAAGAGAUGUUGCAGCUUUUGGAAGCUGGAGAGCAAAUGCAUCACAGUGCAACACUUUCAUAGCUGUAUGACCUCAAAGAUACCAAAUAGCGUCCGAGUAUCGGAUGGAAGUAUGUCCUAUGUAGUUGUUAACAUGGUCUAUCUGUUGUUCCAAGUUAUUGACCUUUGUAGUAAAACUGAAAGUCGUGGACUUUUUCCCCCUUGAUGAGAGAAAAUAAAAGUUCGAUGUUUGCUUCUUGAGAGAAGCUACAUGGUCUGUUUGGUGUAAUAAAAUAGCCAUGCUGAAAUUCUUUGUGAUGUAGUUGUGUUGUGAUGAAUUGGUUGGCUGGAGCAACUUCCUAGAAAUAGCUUUAAGGUGCUGCCUUUGCAUGUCAGUGGAGCUUUGAGAUAUUUGCCAAAGAUGUUGUAAAAGCUGAAAAACCUUGGUGUCAACAGCAGACACUAGCACAGACAGAAGAAUGGAAGGGCAAUUUGUUGAUUAGAAUCUCUUCCUUCUAGCACUUUGCCUUAUGUCAUGCUUUUGAUCUUUUCUUUUUAAAGUAUAUCUGUAUUGUCCCAUAGGAAGUAUCUUUUGAUGAACCAUAGAAAAAGCAGGUUGUUGCCUUAGUCAUUAGUACGAGCUUUUGAUUUGAGGAGUGAAGUCACCCAUUAGAUCACUAUCUUUUGUUUUGAUUUAGAAAAAAGCAGGUCCUCUUUCCAUUUUACUCUUUUGUUUUGAUUUAGGCACUAUCUUCUUGACUUGAUGAGAGUAACUCCUCGUGUUGCAAACUAUACUGGACCUGGAUCUCGAUUUUGUAUUUUGAGACAGGAACUAGUCACAGCUUUUUGCCAGGUAGCUCAUGCUAUUACUGUAGUUAAGUGGUUCAGCCAUCUUCAUGAUUUCCUACUUAAAAUUUUUCUAUUGAGAAGGCCCAGGCUGCAGAAAGAUCGAAACAUAGUUUAAGCUCUGAUACUAUCCGUGACUCACCAACUGAUUCUUUAAGAGUUGCCAGAGAUAACGGGCUUGGGAAUGCUGAUGCUGGUGUUGGAGGAUUUUCCGACAGUAAGGUAGUUACCUUAUCUUUCCCCUUCAAUUGGUAUUGGGCAAUUAUAGUUUAGUUCUAUCCAGGCAUUUGUAAACUUGGCAUUAUAUCCCCUGAAUAUCACAUCAGGGCAUUGUGUA